GUGGGGAAUAUUGGGCAAUGGGCGGAAGCCUGACCCAGCGACGCCGCGUGGGGGAAGAAGUCUUUCGGGAUGUAAACCCUUGUUGUACGGGACGAAGGAAGUGACGGUACCGUACGAGGAAGCCCCGGCAAACUACGUGCCAGCAGCCGCGGUAAUACGUAGGGGGCGAGCGUUGUCCGGAAUCACUGGGCGUAAAGCGCACGUAGGCGGGCUGUCAAGUCGGCCGUGAAAGGCACGGGCUCAACCUGUGCAUGUCGGUCGAUACUGGCGGUCUGGAGUAUGGGAGAGGGAACUGGAAUUCCCGGUGUAGCGGUGAAAUGCGUAGAGAUCGUGAGGAACACCAGUGGCGAAGGCGCCUUUCUGGACUGUGUCUGACGCUGAGAUGCGAAAGCCAGGGUAGCGAACGGGAUUAGAUACCCGUGUAGUCC
rnacentral:rRNA from 1 species